GACGAACGCUGGCGGCGUGCUUAACACAUGCAAGUCGAACGGAAAGGCCCUGCUUUUGUGGGGUGCUCGAGUGGCGAACGGGUGAGUAACACGUGAGUAACCUGCCCUUGACUUUGGGAUAACUUCAGGAAACUGGGGCUAAUACCGGAUAGGAGCUCCUGCUGCAUGGUGGGGGUUGGAAAGUUUCGGCGGUUGGGGAUGGACUCGCGGCUUAUCAGCUUGUUGGUGGGGUAGUGGCUUACCAAGGCUUUGACGGGUAGCCGGCCUGAGAGGGUGACCGGCCACAUUGGGACUGAGAUACGGCCCAGACUCCUACGGGAGGCAGCAGUGGGGAAUAUUGCACAAUGGGCGGAAGCCUGAUGCAGCAACGCCGCGUGCGGGAUGACGGCCUUCGGGUUGUAAACCGCUUUCGCCUGUGACGAAGCGUGAGUGACGGUAAUGGGUAAAGAAGCACCGGCUAACUACGUGCCAGCAGCCGCGGUGAUACGUAGGGUGCGAGCGUUGUCCGGAUUUAUUGGGCGUAAAGGGCUCGUAGGUGGUUGAUCGCGUCGGAAGUGUAAUCUUGGGGCUUAACCCUGAGCGUGCUUUCGAUACGGGUUGACUUGAGGAAGGUAGGGGAGAAUGGAAUUCCUGGUGGAGCGGUGGAAUGCGCAGAUAUCAGGAGGAACACCAGUGGCGAAGGCGGUUCUCUGGGCCUUUCCUGACGCUGAGGAGCGAAAGCGUGGGGAGCGAACAGGCUUAGAUACCCUGGUAGUCCACGCUGUAAACGGUGGGUACUAGGUGUGGGGUCCAUUCCACGGGUUCCGUGCCGUAGCUAACGCUUUAAGUACCCCGCCUGGGGAGUACGGCCGCAAGGCUAAAACUCAAAGGAAUUGACGGGGCCCCGCACAAGCGGCGGAGCAUGCGGAUUAAUUCGAUGCAACGCGUAGAACCUUACCUGGGUUUGACAUGGAUCGCGAGUGCUCAGAGAUGGGUGUGCCUCUUUUGGGGUCGGUUCACAGGUGGUGCAUGGCUGUCGUCAGCUCGUGUCGUGAGAUGUUGGGUUAAGUCCCGCAACGAGCGCAACCCUUGUUCACUGUUGCCAGCACGUUAUGGUGGGGACUCAGUGGAGACCGCCGGGGUCAACUCGGAGGAAGGUGGGGAUGACGUCAAGUCAUCAUGCCCCUUAUGUCCAGGGCUUCACGCAUGCUACAAUGGCUGGUACAGAGAGUGGCGAGCCUGUGAGGGUGAGCGAAUCUCGGAAAGCCGGUCUCAGUUCGGAUUGGGGUCUGCAACUCGACCUCAUGAAGUCGGAGUCGCUAGUAAUCGCAGAUCAGCAACGCUGCGGUGAAUACGUUCCCGGGGCU
rnacentral:rRNA from 1 species